rnacentral:rRNA from 1 species
AUUGAACGCUGGCGGCGUGCUUAACACAUGCAAGUCGUGCGGUAACAGGCGUAGCAAUACGUGCUGACGAGCGGCGAACGGGUGCGUAAUACAUGGGAAUCUGCCUUUUAGUGGGGAAUAACCCGGCGAAAGCCGGGCUAAUGCCGCAUAAGAUCUUCGGAUGAAAGCGGGGGAUCGUAAGACCUCGCGCUGAUAGAUGAGCCCAUGCCGGAUUAGCUAGUUGGUGAGGUAACGGCUCACCAAGGCGACGAUCCGUAGCUGGUCUGAGAGGACGGCCAGCCACACUGGGACUGAGACACGGCCCAGACUCCUACGGGAGGCAGCAGUGGGGAAUAUUGGACAAUGGGGGAAACCCUGAUCCAGCGACGCCGCGUGUGUGAAGAAGGCCUGCGGGUUGUAAAG